GGCGCUGAGAAUGGGAUGUCGUCUGUUCUCUGAUCUCUCUGCCGCAGCCUGUGUCGCACUGUAAUGUGCACUGGCCGUGGGGGUCGUAGGCAGUACUCAGGGAGAACCAGGAAACCUAGAAAUGGACUCAGUGGCCUUUGAGGAUGUAGCUGUGAGUUUCAGCCUGGAGGAGUGGGCUUUACUGGAUCCUUCACAGAAGAAACUCUACAGAGAUGUGAUGCAGGAAACCUUCAGGCACCUGGCCUCCAUAGGGUAAACAUAGGAAGAUCAUGACAUUGAAGAUCAGUCCAAAAACCAGAGAGGAAAACGAAGAAGUCAUGUGGCAGAGAGAAUCUGUGAAGGGAAAGAAGGUAGUCAACAUGGAGAAAAUUUCAGCCUUUUUCCAAAUUUCAGUCUGAAGAAGAAAACUCUUCCUGGAG